rnacentral:lncRNA from 1 species
CUCAACGACGUCUUGCGUGAGUUCUCCAAGCAAUGCACGCAUGGUUCGAGGACUCAGCUCCGUCAUUGGUUCGUAACGACUGUUACUGCUCUGAUUUUGUCCAUCUGUUCGUGGAGAGGCAUGUUGCUCCUCAUAUCGCUCGAUUACAGACUGGAUUCCUCCCUGACUUGCUCCUUCCUUGUCGGAUCUCUGAGGCAUACUGUUUCUCCUUUUGCACUUUCAACACCUAACACCACUGUCCCACUGGGCGUGCCAAAUUGUUUCGCGCGGGUUAAUUCGCUAACAAUUAAAGAGGAUCAGACGAUUGUGUAAGGGACGAAACCUCUUGAGACAAAGUCCCAAAAAUGGGUGUUCUUUUUAUUGGCGAUGAACUUUACAAUUGGAAACGGAAAACAACGUGCCUCCAAGGGGCGCAAGCACACGAGUUACAGAAAAGGAAAUGUUUAAGUCUAAAAGCUAAAGGAAUGAAAAUUACAUAUUCUCUGUUCGAGAGUUUUUGAUUCGGUCCUUUGCCUCUAAGUUCUUUCUCCCUUUUAUACUUCAUAGGCGAUCCCUUUGUGAUUAACUGCUCUAAAAAACUGCUUGACCGCCCUAUAACUAUCCACUUUCUUUGUAGUGGCCAUUUUGUCAUGCAACUGUCCUUUUAACUGCUGCCAUUAUCUUGCAUCGUUCAACCGCUUUCGAUUGAACCCCUUGAGUCGUGGAACGUGAUAAAGUUAUUUUAGCAACUGCCUUAAUAACUGCAUCAUAAUGCGUUAUGUUUGUUGAUACCUUGGGCGACUUGAAGAUUUGGGCGAGACUUUGGACGACCGUAUGCCACUCUAUUCGUUCAGACUCUGAGCGACUUGCAAACUUGGACGAUGGCGUUACCGCACUAUUGGGCCCCUUAUUUGGGCAUUCACCUUGAUUCGUUCAAUUGGAUUUCGUUCUUUGGGCUAUCUGAU